GGUAUAUGGUAUACGUGUAGACCUUACUGCUGUGAUUUUCGUUCUUUUUUUGUUAUGAAACUUGAGGAACACUAUCAACUUGGGAGAGUAAUAUAUACACUGAAAUGUGCAUGAAGUGGUGUGUGGAUGAUUUUUUUUGAUACCUUUAUGUUAAUGUUUAGUGAUUAUGGGCAAAAUACAAUUUUCAAGCAGUUUAAUUUACUCUCUCAUUGCAAUCUGUGAAGUAUAUGCUUCCAGAGCCCCUGUGUUCUCCUUCUUUCUCUUUAUUUAUAGAAAUGUCUUAGUUUUUGGGGAUUUGAUUUUGUCUGCUCUAUGUAUUUUGAUUGGGUUUGGGACCACCUUCAUUUUUUAUUUUAUAGAUUUAUUAUCUAAUGGAUUUUCUUUAAUUGUUAGUUUUGAUGAUUUUCCUCUGCGUUUCCAUUCCAUGAUGACAAUGUGUAUUUUUUUGAGGUUUCAACUGUAAUGUAAUUUCAGAUCUGGUACACCACUUUGGUUGGCUUGAUGGAAGAUAAGGAACUGUUUGUCUACGUUAUCAGUUCUUACCUGUUCUCGGAUCUGUUGUACUCUGGACUGGAGAAGUGACAUGGUUAUUACUAGGUGAAUGGAUAUUCUUUGAGUAUAAUGAUAUGCAUUGGUUGUGAUGUUGUAUUGAAUAUUAUAUGUGUCAUAUAAGUUUCCUUUUCCAAAUGUGUUUGUCGUAGAAAUUGGGAUACGUUUUUAUACUUUAAAUCUGUAUAUACUGAGGAAACAGUCGAGCUAGACCAGUUAAUGUACUGAGUGUUGGCAUAAUAUUUGACAUUAUUUCUUAAUUAUUUCGGAAUGGGCAUUUUUUAGAAUUGGUGUGGGUGUAAUUGUGUUUUUCUCCAUGGCAAGUGCUUCUGGCAUUAUAUCGUACUUAUUUUGUAGCUACAGGGGGGUGUGCAUGCUGUGGUCUUCUUAUGUGGCUCAGCUGUCCAGGUACAACACCAUCACCAUGCUCUUGUUUACAAACUUUGGUUGGUUCCCGUAAUAUCAUCUUCGCUUGAUUUUUUUUUCCAAGAGUUUUGCGGGGAAGAUUUUAGCAAAAACAUAGAUCUCACGAGCUUCACAAUAGAGCCUUCAAAUAUUUACUUAAUUUUUACAUAGUCAAAAUUCAUUUGAGUUUUUUUGCUAUAAUCAAGUUUGAAUCCAACUGAGUUUGAAGCUCAACCUUUAUGAUAGCCAUACUUAGAUUUUUCAAAGUCAGGCUAGAACUGUUCUUUUGAGUGAGAUUUGGAACCCAUGUUCAAAUUGGGUUUUGUUGUUUGCAUUAUUACUGACAGCUGAUUAAAUACAGCGAUUUUGCUUCUUUUUUUUUGUACAUUUCUUUUUUAGAUUGAAUGCACCUGUAGAUCCAGUGUUCGAGUAAUUGGUGCUGAUCUGGCUAUAAUGGCAUUUUUGUAAUCCAUGUUGAUGAUGAUCCUUGGAGUGGAAAACAAGGAGUUGCUAAACCUCUACAAGAUCUCCCGGGGACACACAUGACUUGCAUUUUAAUCCGAUAUGGCUGGUGAGAGAGCAAGAGGCGGUCGACCUCUCAUUGCAAGUAUAACUCACACACAGCUGUAAAAUGGCCAAUCUUGCGAGGCUCUUGCUAAGACUAAAACCAGUAGAGAGUGAUUAUUCAUUUUGUAGAAGAUUUAUCAAGUUAAAGCAGCAGAGCCAAAGGUUGGGAUGGGGAUUAUGAUCAUCUGACGUGAACGUAUUUAUGAUGGUCGCUGAAAGAAGGUUGGUAUGGGUGGUGAGGCUCUUAUUUUUGCAACUGAACACAGCAUGAGAUCUUUUGGUUCUUUCUAUUGGGGAAGCAACGUCAUCUUCUUCCAGACUCCCAGCUAACAUGAUUCAUGCUCCACAAGUCUCUUUUCACCCACCGAAAGGGCAGCUUAGAUUGAAGAAAUUAAUGAAGCAGCCAGCGUCAAACCAUGGCACUUGACACCAGCAUCAUGUGACUUGAGCCAUCCCUUUGCUUCACUUUCCACAAGUUUCACAUGCCCACUGUUCUGGCCUCCAGCCAUUGUUUGUGUAAGUACUAAGCAGCCAUUAAAUUAGGUGGGGUUUGAAAUCACUUUUGUGAGUUUCUUUUUUAUUUUCCAGAGUUCAAAACGUGAAGUUACUUGGAAAGUCAGGUAUCAUAUCAUAUUUGGAUUAU